rnacentral:rRNA from 1 species
GAUGAACGCUAGCGACAGGCUUAACACAUGCAAGUCGAGGGGCAGCGGGGUAGUGCUUGCACUACUGCCGGCGACCGGCGCACGGGUGAGUAACACGUAUGGAACCUGCCCGCAGCAGGGGGAUAAGCGGAAGAAAUUCCGUCUAAUACCGCGUAACAACGUUGGGAGGCAUCUCCCGAUGUUUAAAGAUUUAUCGGCUGCGGAUGGCCAUGCGGCGCAUUAGCUAGUCGGCGGGGUAACGGCCCACCGAGGCGACGAUGCGUAGGGGUUCUGAGAGGAAGGUCCCCCACACUGGUACUGAGACACGGACCAGACUCCUACGGGAGGCAGCAGUGAGGAAUAUUGGUCAAUGGCCGAGAGGCUGAACCAGCCAAGUCGCGUGAGGGAAGACGGCCCUACGGGUUGUAAACCUCUUUUGUCGGGGAGCAAAGCGAACCACGUGUGGUUCAUUGAGAGUACCCGAAGAAAAAGCAUCGGCUAACUCCGUGCCAGCAGCCGCGGUAAUACGGAGGAUGCGAGCGUUAUCCGGAUUUAUUGGGUUUAAAGGGUGCGCAGGCGGAGGUGCAAGUCAGCGGUCAAAUUGCGGGGCUCAACCCCGUACUGCCGUUGAAACUGCAUCCCUUGAGUGCGCGAGAAGUAUGCGGAAUGCGUGGUGUAGCGGUGAAAUGCAUAGAUAUCACGCAGAACUCCGAUUGCGAAGGCAGCAUACCGGCGCGCAACUGACGCUCAUGCACGAAAGCGUGGGUAUCGAACAGGAUUAGAUACCCUGGUAGUCCACGCAGUAAACGAUGAACACUAACUGUUCGGCCAGAAUGAUGGCUGAGUGGUACAGCGAAAGCGUUAAGUGUUCCACCUGGGGAGUACGCCGGCAACGGUGAAACUCAAAGGAAUUGACGGGGGCCCGCACAAGCGGAGGAACAUGUGGUUUAAUUCGAUGAUACGCGAGGAACCUUACCCGGGCUCAAACGACACAGGAAUACUUUUGAAAGGAGGUAGCCCUACGGGGUCUGUGUCGAGGUGCUGCAUGGUUGUCGUCAGCUCGUGCCGUGAGGUGUCGGCUUAAGUGCCAUAACGAGCGCAACCCCUAUCGCCAGUUACCAUCAAGUAAAGUUGGGGACUCUGGCGAGACUGCCGGCGCAAGCUGAGAGGAAGGCGGGGAUGACGUCAAAUCAGCACGGCCCUUACGUCCGGGGCGACACACGUGUUACAAUGGCAGGUACAGAGAGAAGCCAGGUGGCGACACCGCGCGGAACUCGAAAGCCUGUCUCAGUUCGGAUCGGAGUCUGCAACCCGACUCCGUGAAGCUGGAUUCGCUAGUAAUCGCGCAACAGCCAUGGCGCGGU